GUGCUUGCUUUGGCAGCACAUAUACUAAAAUCGGAACAAUACAGAGAAGAUUAGCGUGAUUGACACACAAAUUCAUGAAGUGUUCCAUAUUUUU
rnacentral:snRNA from 1 species